rnacentral:rRNA from 1 species
ACUGCGGAAGCGCCUAAAAUCAAACCCUCUGACCCGCCAUCAAUGGGGGCUCGCCGCGGCCGACGGCGAUCUCUCAUCUUUCCCUCCGCCACACCGCGUCCUCAUUAAGCACACGCGCAAGGUCGCGCCCCCUCGGCAUCCAGCAGACGAGCCUCUCUCUCGCCCGCAGGUGCGGCGCCGGCCCAUUCCUUCCGCAGUUCCAUUCCCACGGGAUCUGAUCCGGUGACUAUUUGCACGCGUCGCCGUCGUCGGGAGCUCGUUCUCGCGGCGCGAUUACGAUCUUCGGACACCCUUACCCGAGCCUCUCCGCCCGACAACUUCGUCCUCAUUCCUCAGCGAGCGCCCUUGUUCUUCUGGUGCGCUCUUCGCCUCUUCGCUUUGCUCCGAGUCCCUCAUCUCUGCACAAGUGAAGUUCAUGCUAGCAUGAUGCCUUGUGAGCAUGCGUGCUAUGGUUCUGUAGCCGUCUCUGUCAUCUAAGUUGUAGUACCCGGCUGUGAGCUCGGCUGCAUGGUUUGGAACCCUGUACCACCAGUGAAUGCCAGAGAUCUGCAACCAAACAUUGGAUCAUGUCUCAUUACAUUCUAGAUUAAGCAAUCUGCACCCUGCAUCCCAAGAAGACCUUGUUUGCUUCGUCCAAGACCUUGUCACCGUGCUUGAUCAGUUUGUUGGAGUACCAUGACAGGAAAAACUUCCCCUUCUCGGUGAGGUAUGUUCCGUUGUCCUUGAAGAAUUGGGUUUUCUCGGGAGUGUCGUUGUACUCUCCAGCAUCGUCUGGCAAUUCCCACUCAGGAUGGCCAGCCUUUGCCGCUGCUGCUUUGAAGUCUGCUUCCAGGAUGGUUUGGCUUCUCGACGAUGUCUACGACACGAAACACCGGGCCUACAUGAUGCGCGAGAAGGAGAUGAAGCUUGAACCUUUGAAGAUUCGGUAUCACGGGGUCUCUGAUCCUGCCAUGCCUUACGAUGAGCGGUACACACCGUACAUCAAGCAGGCAGGACUACUCCCGUGGAUUCAGUUGGUCAGCCGAUCCACGCCGAAUCUGAACGCUCCACUGGUGUCCGCUCUUGCUGAUUGGUGGAGGCCGGAGACGCAUAGUUUCCAUCUUCGGACUGGGGAGAUGACCGUGACGCUCGAGGAUGUCUCGUUGAUCACCGAUCUUGCUAUCGACGGGAUGCCUCUCUGUAUGAGCACCGAUUCUGAUGGGUGGCGCGAGCAGAUGAUUGCUCUUAUCGGUAUGGCUCCUACCGAGGCUGAGGCUGAUGUAGAGGAGGGAGAAGAGAAGAAGAAGAAGAAAAGGAAAGCAUCCGGAGCUGCUUUCACGUGGAUUCAAACUCACUUUGCGACGUGCCCUCCGGAUGCCACUGAUGACGUGAUCCAGACACAUGCUCGUGUCUACAUGUGGUAUGUUGUGUCGAGGACUUUGUUUCCUGACUCCACUGGCAAGAACGCUCCAUGGAUGUGGCUGAAGGCGUUGACCGUCUUCGAUAGCAAAUGGAGCUGGGGUUCAGCGACUCUUGCCUACUUGUACCGACAGCUGGACGAUGCGUGUUGCAGGAUCACAGAUAGUGCAGGCAUUGGUGGUAAUAUGCUUCUACUUUCUGUAUGGAGCUGGGAGCGUCUGCCUGUUGGACGCUCGAAGAGCGUCAGGUUUAAUCCUUGGUAUGAAGAUGAAGAUGACGAAUUACGGCGCCCCACUUGGGCUUACAAGUGGGAUGUGGUUUCCGAGAUGACGAACGAUGUCAAUCUCAUGUACCAGAAGUACGUUGCCGAGUUGGACACGAUUACGCCCGAGCAGGUGGAAUGGCAGCCAUAUGGCGCCGAUGACAGACUUGGGUACACCCCGGAGUUUACCAUCAACCCAAUGUGCUUGCGGGAUAGGGAUCUCUGGCGUAUGCGGUGCCCACUGAUAUGCAACUGGGCUAUUGAGUUUCAUUUGCCACAUCGCGUGUCUCGUCAGUUUGGUCUGUUCCAGCCUCACCCGUCGGAAUGGGUGGAUACGGACAAAGCACUUCAUAGGUUGGACAGGAGAAGGCAGCAGAAGAUAAAGGACUGGGACAAGCAUCAUGCUUCGUAUGUUACCCGCUUCCAGCUUUGUGUGGAGGAAGCUCGUAGCAGUGCACGCGCCAAGCUUCGUGAGCAUUGUCCACUUGCUUUUGAUAACUACAUACGAUGGCUUCUUGAAAAUACUCGAGUUGAGAUAUGCCCGCCGGCAUAUAAUGAGGAUAUUCUUGAAGAACCCGUAAACUUUGAGGAUCUAUCAAAGGGGAAGUACAACAGAGAUGUCAGGGUAGGGCACGGAGUCCCUGCUGUUCCGGUGAUUAACUAUGUGCGCACCGAGAUCAAGAAAGCAGCUGAUGAGAGCCAGUCUAUUCUGGAGGAAACACCGGUUGGAAAAGGCAAUGAUGAUGGUCCACUACGAGCAUUCCUCAAGCGUCAGGCCAGGAAGUUAAGGCGGUUAUCGAAUCUUCUCAGUUGCCGUGAUCCCGAAAUUGAUGAACCAUCUGCCUCUAGGUCUGGUACACCAUCAGACCCCUCAUCUCACCAUCAGAGGGACGAUGUGAGUUCCUCAUAUGCUUAUCAGGAUGAUGAGGGUGCGGUCACCCAAGAGGGCGAUGAGCUUGAUGAUGACAUGACUUUGGCGGACGCUCAACUUCGGUCCCCAUAUGAGUUCAAGCCUAGGCAGCCCAGACGCCGGUACACGCCCAACAACUUUGACAACAGAGGCAACCCAAAGGUGGUCGUAGGGACCUCGCGGAUGGCUAGCUUGGAUCAUGAGGCGGAGGCGGAGGCGGAGGAGGAAGUGCGGGAAGAGGAGGCUCGUCCAUCCAGGAAGAAGAAGAUUGCCUGCAGGCGUGGCACCAGGAACACGCGCGGAAGGCAUUAGUGUUUGUUACUAUGGAAGUGCUCUCUUGUAGCCGUUUCGUUAGGUUGAUGAACUUGUUUGGUUAUGUUAUAUGUUGGUGAACUCUUACUAUUGUGGUAUUUGUGUUGUCCUAAAAGAUAUGAUGUUCAAAUUAUUAUGGUAUUGUGGUAUUUAUUCAGUUGAAUUGUUCAGUAUUUGUGGUAUUGUGG